AAUCAACGCUGGCGGCGUGCCUCAGACAUGCAAGUCGAACGAUUAAAGCUCUCUUCGGAGAGUGCAUAGAGUGGCGCACGGGUGAGUAACACGUAAGUAAUCUACCCUCGAGUGGGGAAUAACGUCCGGAAACGGACGCUAAUACCGCAUAAUGCAGCGGCACCGCAAGGUGACAGUUGUUAAAGAUUUAUCGCUUGAGGAGGAGCUUGCGGCAGAUUAGCUAGUUGGUAAGGUAAUGGCUUACCAAGGCUACGAUCUGUAACCGGUCUAAGAGGACGGUCGGUCACACUGACACGGAAUAACGGGUCAGACUCCUACGGGAGGCAGCAGUCGGGAAUUUUGGGCAAUGGGCGAAAGCCUGACCCAGCAACGCCGCGUGAAGGAUGAAGUAUUUCGGGAUGUAAACUUCGAAAGAAUAGGAAGAAUUAAUGACGGCACUAUUUAUAAGGUCCGGCUAACUACGUGCCAGCCGCCGCAGUAAGAC
rnacentral:rRNA from 1 species